ACUCCUACGGGAGGCAGCAGUAGGGAAUCUUCCACAAUGGGCGCAAGCCUGAUGGAGCAACACCGCGUGAGUGAAGAAGGGUUUCGGCUCGUAAAGCUCUGUUGUUAAAGAAGAACACGUAUGAGAGUAACUGUUCAUACGUUGACGGUAUUUAACCAGAAAGUCACGGCUAACUACGUGCCAGCAGCCGCGGUAAUACGUAGGUGGCAAGCGUUAUCCGGAUUUAUUGGGCGUAAAGAGAGUGCAGGCGGUUUUCUAAGUCUGAUGUGAAAGCCUUCGGCUUAACCGGAGAAGUGCAUCGGAAACUGGAUAACUUGAGUGCAGAAGAGGUAGUGGAACUCCAUGUGUAGCGGUGGAAUGCGUAGAUAUAUGGAAGAACACCAGUGGCGAAGCGGCUACCUGGUCUGCAACUGACGCUGAGACUCGAAAGCAUGGGUAGCGAACAGGAUUAGAUACCCCUGGUAGGAUAGCG
rnacentral:rRNA from 1 species